GACGAACGCUGGCGGCGUGCUUAACACAUGCAAGUCGAACGGAAAGGCCCCCACUUUUUUGGUGGGGGUGCUCGAGUGGCGAACGGGUGAGUAACACGUGGGUGAUCUGCCCUGUACUUCGGGAUAAGCUUGGGAAACUGGGUCUAAUACCGGAUAGGACCAUGGUUUAGUGUCUCAUGGUGGAAAAAUUAUUGUUUUGGUGCAGGAUGAGCUCGCGGCCUAUCAGCUUGUUGGUGGGGUAAUGGCCUACCAAGGCGUCGACGGGUAGCCGGCCUGAGAGGGUGGACGGCCACAUUGGGACUGAGAUACGGCCCAGACUCCUACGGGAGGCAGCAGUGGGGAAUAUUGCACAAUGGGCGCAAGCCUGAUGCAGCGACGCCGCGUGGGGGAUGACGGCCUUCGGGUUGUAAACUCCUUUCGUUAGGGACGAAGCCACACUUUUUUUGGGUGUGGA
rnacentral:rRNA from 1 species